GCCGGAUUAAUACCGCAUACGAUCUUAGGAUGAAAGCGGGGGAUCGCAAGACCUCGCGCUUUUGGAGCGGCCGAUGUCCGAUUAGCUAGUUGGUGGGGUAAAGGCCUACCAAGGCGACGAUCGGUAGCUGGUCUGAGAGGAUGAUCAGCCACACUGGGACUGAGACACGGCCCAGACUCCUACGGGAGGCAGCAGUGGGGAAUUUUGGACAAUGGGGGGAACCCUGAUCCAGCCAUGCCGCGUGCGGGAAGAAGGCCUUCGGGUUGUAAACCCGCUUUUGGUCGGAAAGAAAAGGCCACGCCUAAUACGUGUGGUUCUUGACGGUACCGGCAGAAUAAGCACCGGCUAACUACGUGCCAGCAGCCGCGGUAAUACGUAGGGUGCAAGCGUUAAUCGGAAUUACUGGGCGUAAAGAGUGCGUAGGCGGUUCUUGAAGUCCGCUGUGAAAGCCCCGGGCUUAACCUGGGAAUGGCAGUGGAAACUGGAG
rnacentral:rRNA from 1 species